rnacentral:rRNA from 1 species
UACGUAGGGCGCAAGCGUUAUCCGGAAUCAUUUGGGCGUAAAAGAGCGUGUAGGCGGGCUCGAUAAGUCUGCUGUGAAAGUCCAAGGGCUCAACCCUGGAAAGGCCGGUGGAAACUGUCGGGCUAGAGUCCGGAAGAGGCGAGGUGGAAUUCCCGGUGUAGCGGUGAAAAUGCGUAGAUAUCGAAGAGGAACACCUGCGGCGAAGGCGGGGUUGCUGGGGCUGAAUGACUGACGUUGGAGGGCGCGAAA